UCAGAUGUCGUGACAUAUUACUUAAAUUUAAUAUUCAUCGUUUGUAAGUCUUCCUUUGUAAUAAUAAAUUUAAAAGCGAAACAUCAUUAGAGAGUAUACGAGUAGCACCUAACCAUGACUGUCUAACAAUGUAAAUCGAUAUGUUAUUUUUAUAUAACAAGAUAUAAUUAGACGUGUAUUUAAAUAAUAUAACUUGUGUAAAUUUUGUACAAUUAUCGUAUAGGCUAGGUCUAGUCAUGUUUGGUUAGUCGCCUAGAGUCAACGUAUUUGGUUAGCUUAGGCGUAGAUGAUGUGAUUAGCGUUUGUAUUUAUUAUUAUCAUUAUUAUUAUUACCAUUUUUUCUGUUAGUUCGAAAAAGUUACUUCAAAAUACAUUUUUUACCCCAUAAAAAAAUAUAUAUUAACCAACCGUGUUUUUUUUUACAAUGUGUAUGUAAUACCUUUUAUUUAAAACAUUAAUCUAACAUUAUAACACUAAUACUUCGGACGAAAAACCUUUUAACAAAACUUUUGUGUUCUAAUCAUUUUUUUUCAGUUCUAAUACGAAUACAUGGUAAGUUCGUGAAAGUGCUCACACCAAAUUUGCAUCUUGCAAUUAUUAAUAAUAUUUAGAUACCAGAUACUCCGAAAUGGAGUAAUUGUGUGACAAAGUUCAUUUUAAUCAACUAAUUUAAUAAGAUUUCAAAACGAUUUUUACUUUGUUGUACUUAGAAUGGCAUAUAUUGAGAAGAACACGGUUCAGUUGACGAGGGGCUAGGUGAACUCGAGAAAAUUAAGAAAAUCGAAGUCAUUUCAACGUAUAUAUUUCCACUAUUUUUACUCCGAUGGUAUGUGCGUGUGUUACAUAAUUUUUGAAAUAAAUCGAUAAUUUUUAACUUAAA